UCAGUCGACUCCUACGGGGAGGCAGCAGUGGGGGAAUAUUGCACAAUGGGCGCAAGCCUGAUGCAGCCAUGCCGCGUGUGUGAAGAAGGCCUUCGGGUUGUAAAGCACUUUCAGUCGUGAGGAAGGUAGUGUAGUUAAUAGCUGCAUUAUUUGACGUUAGCGACAGAAGAAGCACCGGCUAACUCCGUGCCAGCAGCCGCGGUAAUACGGAGGGUGCGAGCGUUAAUCGGAAUUACUGGGCGUAAAGCGCAUGCAGGUGGUUUGUUAAGUCAGAUGUGAAAGCCCGGGGCGUCAACCUCGGAAUUGCAUUUGAAACUGGCAGACUAGAGUACUGUAGAGGGGGGUAGGAAUUUCAGGUGUAGCGGUGAAAUGCGUAGAGAUCUGAAGGAAUACCGGUGGCGAAGGCGGCCCCCUGGACAGAUACUGACACUCAGAUGCGAAAGCGUGGGGAGCAAACAGGAUUAGAUACCCUGGUAG
rnacentral:rRNA from 1 species